AAGUCGUAACAAGGUUUCCAUAGGUGAACCUGCGGAAGGAUCAUUAAAAAAUCAACUCAUCGAUUUGGGUUUUUAACUCAUAUCAACCUUGUGUGCACCUAAAACUGUAACUGGCAGUUCUUUAUUAGUUUGAGGGUUAAGCUUUCGGGCUUAAGUUUCAAUCUAACAACCUGCCAAAAGUUAAACCUAAGAAAUUUUUGUUUUUAAUUUUACUUAAGUCUUUAAAAAACUUAAUAAGUAACAACUUUUAACAACGGAUCUCUUGGCUCUC
rnacentral:misc_RNA from 1 species